rnacentral:lncRNA from 1 species
GCCCUUGGAGCACCAUAUAUAGAUCUCAUUGUAGAAUCUAAAGAGGAUAAAGAUCAUGAACUUUCUACAAAAUCCAAAAAAAGAUCAAUGUUGCAAAAAAGAAGGCACCUACUACAUUAUAAAGAGGAUACUUCAUGUGAAUGAAUGUAUAUAUAAAAAAUAGAAAAAAUACCCACAUAACCAUAUUUAAAUUACAACAAAAUGGAUUAGAAACAAGCUCCACUGGCCAAUAAAACAAAAAUACA